rnacentral:rRNA from 1 species
UACGUAGGGGGCAAGCGUUGUCCGGAAUCAUUGGGCGUAAAGCGCGCGUAGGCGGCCCGGUAAGUCCGCUGUGAAAGUCGGGGGCUCAACCCUCGGAUGCCGGUGGAUACUGUCGGGCUUGAGUACGGAAGAGGCGAGUGGAAUUCCUGGUGUAGCGGUGAAAUGCGCAGAGUAUCAGGAGGAACACCAAUUGCGAAGGCAGCUCGCUGGGACGUUACUGACGCUGAGACGCGAAAGCGUGGGGAGCAAACAGGAUUGAGAUACC